rnacentral:rRNA from 1 species
AUUGAACGCUGGCGGCAGGCCUAACACAUGCAAGUCGAGCGAGCGGCGGACGGGUGAGUAAUGUAUGGGGACUGCCCGAUAGAGGGGGAUAACUACUGGAAACGGUGGCUCAUACCGCAUACUAUCGGAUAACCCAUAUGGGAUUAGCUAGUAGGUGGGGUAAAGGCUCCCCUAGGCGACGAUUUCUAGCUGGUGUGAGAGGAGUAUCGCCGCCAUGGUGACGGAGACACGGCCCAGAUUCCUACGGAGGCAGCAGUGGGGAAUAUUGCACAAGGGGGGCAAGCCUGAUGCAGCCAUGCCGCGGGUAUGAAGAAGGCCUUAGGGUUGUAAAGUACUUUCAGCGGGGAGGCGUUACCCGCAGAAGAAGCACCGGCUAACUCCGUGCCAGCAGCCGCGGUAAUUC